rnacentral:rRNA from 1 species
GACGUAGGGUGCAAGCGUUGUCCGGAAUUACUGGGCGUAAAGGGCUCGUAGGCGGCCAACUAAGUCGGAUGUGAAAUCCCCAGGCUUAACCUGGGAACUGCAUCCGAUACUGGAUGGCUUGAAUCCGGGAGAGGGAUGCGGAAUUCCAGGUGUAGCGGUGAAAUGCGUAGAUAUCUGGAGGAACACCGGUGGCGAAGGCGGCAUCCUGGACCGGCAUUGACGCUGAGGAGCGAAAGCCAGGGGAGCAAACGGGG